rnacentral:misc_RNA from 1 species
CCGGAGGAUCACCACGGG